AGAGGCACGUGCCAAAGCCCUUCGAGAGAUUAACAACUCUAAAUAUGCUAAACGGGUUUUCGAAUUAAUGAGGAAGCAAGAGGAGACUCGUUUGGCUGAGCUGAAGGUUGAGAAAGCCCAAUUUCAAGCCUUCCAAGCUCAAGUUGAGAUUGUGA